rnacentral:lncRNA from 1 species
AAACUCCACUUACCAUACUUUUACUGAGCUUCAGGCGAAUGCCAGGAAGCGUGAGAUCGAGUUAGAGACUCAGGCCAGGGAGGAGGCCGAGUCUCAGCAGGCAGACCGGCGGCCGGCUCAGUCUCAGCCGGCAGCCAAGCGGAUCAAGUCCGCCGAUUCGAGGACGGGAGGUUCGAAGAACCGCACUUGCGUAAAGUGCGGUAAGGGUCACGAUGGGGCGUGUCGAGCCGGUGCUUGCUACAAGUGUGGCAAGGAGGGACACAUUGCUAGGGAGUGUCCCAAGGGAUUUACGGUUUGCUUUCAUUGCAACCAGACCGGCCAUCGGAAGGCCGAGUGCCCUCAGCUUCGUCAGGGAUCUGCACCUGCUGCCAGGACUACUGAGACUCGACCGGUGAAGGUCGAGGCCCCGAGGGCUCGUGGGAGAGCCUUUCAGCUGACUGCGGAGGAGGUCCGCGCUGCGCCCGAUGUUGUGGCAGGUAUGUUGUAAUUCAUGUAAUUAUUUUAAUGUCGAUAUGUUAUGCUUAUGUUAUUAUGCGCGUAGGUACUUUCCUUGUGAACUCUGUGCCUGCCUUAGUGUUAUUUGACUCGGGUGCGAGUAGGUCCUUUGUGUCCUUAGCCUUUAGUCAGCAGAUCGGCGUUAGUCGUGAGUCGUUGAGUCGACCUUUGAGAGUUUCUAUAGCUGACGAGAAAGUGAUUUGUGCUACGGAGGUUCUUCGGGGAUGUGUACUAGAGAUUUUCGGGGUUGGAUUCCCGAUUGACCUGAUUCCUAUUGCGAUGGGGGAUGUCUGUGUUAUCGUGGGCAUGGACUGGUUGAGCCGAUUCGGCGCUGUCAUCGACUGCGAGCGUCAGUUGGUGACCAUACGAGACCAUAGUGGGGGAGUUCUUUCGGUGUACGGUGAGGGUACCCGUUCAGGAUCAGCUUUUUGUUCGGCCGCUAGGGCGAGGCAGUGUCUACAGCAGGGCUGUAAGGGUUUUGUGGCGUAUGUGAUGGAUACGCGGGAGGUUUCCGAGAGACCGAAGUCAGUUGAGGAGGUCCCUGUGGUGCGUGAGUUUUCAGAUGUUUUUCCCGAGGAACUGCCGGGAGUACCUCCUGUGAGGCAAGUAGAGUUUGGUAUCGAUCUGGUUCCGGGGGCCGCGCCUAUUGCUAAAGUGCCCUAUCGUCUUGCACCUCCAGAGAUGCAAGAGUUGUCCUCGCAACUCCAGGAGUUGCUGGGAAAGGGAUUCAUUCGGCCGAGCAGCUCGCCAUGGGGAGCACCUAUUCUGUUCGUCAAGAAGAAGGAUGGUUCACACCGGAUGUGCAUUGAUUACCGGGAGUUGAACAAGCUAACGGUCAAGAACCGUUACCCGUUGCCGAGGAUCGAUGAUUUAUUCGAUCAGUUGCAGGGAGCAUCUUGGUUUUCCAAGAUCGAUCUGAGGUCAGGAUACCAUCAGGUGAGGGUACGGGAUGAGGACGUCCAGAAGACAGCGUUUAGGACGCGAUAUGGGCAUUAUGAGUUUGUGGUGAUGCCUUUUGGACUCACCAAUGCCCCGGCUGUGUUCAUGGAUCUCAUGAACAGGGUAUGCAGGCCGAUGUUGGAUCGGUCAGUGAUUGUAUUUAUCGACGACAUUCUGGUGUAUUCGAGAUCUAGAGAGCAGCAUGAGGAGCAUUUGAGGGAGGUCCUUGAGGUAUUGAGGUCGGAGAAGCUUUAUGCAAAGUUCUCCAAAUGUGACUUCUGGUUGCGGGAGGUCCAGUUUCUAGGACAUGUGGUUAAUCAGAAAGGGAUAUUGGUCGAUCCGGCCAAGGUUGAGGCGGUGAUGAGUUGGGAGGUGCCGAAGUCACCCUCUGAGAUCAGAAGUUUCCUUGGGUUGGCAGGGUAUUAUCGGAGAUUUAUCAAGGAUUUCUCCAAGAUCGCAGUGCCACUCACCAGAUUGACCCGGAAGGGUGUUACAUUCUCAUGGGGGCCCGAGCAGCAGACCUCCUUUGAGACACUUCGCCAGAGAUUGUGCGAAGCCCCGGUAUUAGCUCUCCCAGAAGGGAUGGAAGAUUUCGUGGUAUAUUGCGACGCAUCGAUUUCGGGAUUGGGUGCAGUGUUGAUGCAGAGGGGUCAUGUGAUAGCUUAUGCGUCGAGGCAGCUGAAGCCUCAUGAGGCGAGAUAUCCCACGCAUGAUUUAGAGUUGGGGGCAGUAGUGUUCGCUCUCAAGAUUUGGCGCCACUACUUGUAUGGGGUUCGAUGUACGAUAUACACGGACCAUAAGAGUUUGAAGUAUUUGAUGGAUCAACCCAACCUAAAUAUGCGUCAGAGGAGGUGGUUGGAUGUGGUCAAGGAUUAUGAUUGUGAGAUCCUGUACCACCCAGGCAAGGCUAAUGUGGUAGCCGAUGCAUUGAGCCGCAGGGCGGAGAGCACUCCAUUGCGAGAUGUAUGCUUGAGACUGACUGUGAUGACUCCAGUAUUGGACGCUAUUCGUGGGGCCCAGGCAGAGGCUGUGCGACCAGAAAUGCAGAAGAAAGAGCGGGUUGUGGGGUUAAUCUCAGAGUUUGUCAAGGAUAGUCGAGGCCUUAUGACGUUUCAGGGUCGGAUUUGGGUACCGUUCGUGGGCGGUACGCGUAUUACGUUGAUGGAAGAGGCUCAUAGAUCGAAAUUCUCGAUCCAUCCCGGUGCUACAAAGAUGUAUUUGGAUUUAAGGAAGGAAUAUUGGUGGCCCUGUAUGAAGAGGGACGUGGCAUGGUUCGUUGAGAGGUGCUUGACCUGCCGUAGGGUUAAGGCUGAGCACCAGAGACCGCAUGGCAAGUUACAGCCAUUGGAGAUCCCCGAGUGGAAGUGGGAACAGAUCACUAUGGAUUUUAUCACCAAAUUGCCGAGGACUGCUAGGGGAGUUGACGCAAUUUGGGUGAUCGUGGAUAGGUUGACAAAGAGUGCACACUUCCUUGCCAUCAGUGAGAGUUCUUCGGCGGAGAAAUUGGCGGAGAUAUACGUGAGAGAGGUGGUAUCUCGGCACGGGGUGCCGAUCUCGAUUGUGUCAGACCGUGAUGUGCGCUUUACUUCCAGAUUCUGGAAGAAAUUCCAUGAGGAGCUGGGUACUAAAUUGCAUUUUAGUACCGCAUACCAUCCCCAGACAGACGGUCAGAGCGAGCGGACAAUUCAGACGCUGGAGGACAUGCUCCGAGCGUGUGUGUUAGACUUCGGGGGUAGUUGGGAUGCGUAUUUACCAUUGGCAGAGUUCUCCUACAACAACAGCCAUCAUUCGAGCAUUGGUAUGCCACCUUUCGAGCUGUUGUAUGGUAGGAGGUGUCGGACCCCCAUUUGCUGGGGAGAGGUGGGACAGAGAGUGAUGGGCAGCACGGAGAUCGUGCUCCAGACGACAGAGCAGAUUCAGCGAGUGAGACAAAGGUUAUUGACUGCCCAGAGCCGACAGAAGAGUUAUGCAGACAGGCGCCGAUCCGAGCUUGAAUUUCAGGUCGGCGACUUCGUUCUCCUGAAGGUCUCUCCUUGGAAAGGAGUGAUUCGAUUCAGGAAGAGGGGCAAGUUGGGGCCCCGGUAUAUUGGGCCAUUUCGUGUGAUUGCAAGGAUAGGUCGGGUAGCCUAUCGGUUGGAGUUGCCAGCGGAGUUGGGUCAGAUCCAUGACACUUUUCAUGUGUCGCAGUUGAGGAAGUGCAUAGCCGAUGAGUCGGCAGUGGUUCCAUUGGAGGAUAUUCAGGUGGAUGCGAGCCUGAAUUACGCGGAGAGACCAGUGGCUAUCAGGGAUCGGAAGAUCAAGGUUCUGAGGAACAAGGAGGUACCUCUGGUGUUGGUUCAAUGGCAACACCGUAAGGGAUCAGAAAUGACUUGGGAACCGGAGCGCGAAAUGCGGGAGCAGCAUCCGGAACUAUUUGCAGAAUGAGACUUCGAGGGCGAAGUCUAAUCCAAGUGGGGGAGAGUUGUAACAGCCCGGAAUCUCAGGUAUUAUUAAAAUUAUGUUUUUGGGGUGAUUUAAGAGGGGACUCGGCGAGUUGGAGCCUAGACUCGCCGAGUAGGAUCGCGGACUUGGUCGCGGGUCCGCGACUGGACUCGACGAGUCCAGAUAUGGACUCGGCGAGUCGACGCUGUUCAGCAGAAACCCUAACCGUUCAGUUUGGAUCGUAUUUAACGCCUCUUAGGCCGUCAUUUUCAGUCUUUUGGUCAAUUGAGAGGAACCCUAAUCGCUGUGGACGCCUAGAGCAAGGGAGAAAGCUUUGGAACUUGGAAGAAUUGGUUAGGCAAGAAGAAGAGGGAUUUGGCUAAAGGAAUAUCAAGGAGGAUUGAGUCCUGAGAUUUGGGGGACACAGAGAGUGCGUUUUCAGGUAAUACUCGGACCAAAUCUGUUAUUUUGAUGUAUUUAUGAAAUUAGGGUUUAUAGAACCCAUUUAGUGAUUUGAUGAAGAAAUGCCUUGUUACCCCACGAUUAUAGUCUUGUAUUAGGACCUUUAGAGGUCCAGAAGGUCCCAUGCAUGUGUACUUCGGGACGAGACCUAUCCCAGGAAGCAGUUACUCGUCUGCAUGGCAUGGACUCGCCGAGUUGUUCUUCAGACUCGGCGAGUAGCUUGAAGAUUUGCUGGGACUCGCCGAGUUGUUCAUCAGACUCGGCGAGUGGAGUCGGGGUGGCCCCGCGAUUCUUCCACGAGGACCUCGUCGAGUCAAGAGGGAUACUCGACGAGUAGAAAGGGAAUAUUCAGGAAUUUGUGAGGACGACUAGACUCGCCGAGUCGCCAUGGUACUCGCCGAGUCCAGUCGAGUUGACCGUUGACCGUUGACCAGAGUUGACCUAAGUCUGACUUCUUAGGGAUAGUCACACUUAGAUGAUAUGAGUGUUAAUGAGUUAUGUAAUGUUAUAGGAGGGUUGUAGCUCGUUGGUUUGUGCGCGAGUGAUUUCAGGAGUUGCUAGCUUUCAGCACUUACGAGGUGAGUCUUCUCACUAUACUGUACCCGGAAGGGUUUGACUGUGUGACCGGAAGGUCGGAUAUGAUAUGUGAUAUGUAUGCUAUAUGUGGUAUGUUAUAUGUUAUAUGUGCUAUGUAUGUUAUGGGCCGGAAGGCGAAUAUGUUAUGGGCCGGAAGGCGAUAUGAUGUGUGAUGGACCGGAAGGUCGGCGUGGGUAAGGCCGGAAGGUUUACCCAGCAGGGACGGAAGUCCCCUGAGACACAUGGACCGGAAGGUCGGGCCUGGAAAGGCGUAUGUGCGUAAGUUGUAUAUUGGGGAACUCACUAAGCAUUUAUGCUUACAGUUGUUGUGCAUGUAUUUCAGGUACUAGCGAGGACCGUGGGAAGGCGCCGGCAUGAUCGAUACACACUGAAGAUUGUUUUAAGAUCUUGGGAGUUUGAAUAAUUGUAUUGACCGAAUAAUUAAACUGUUUAUGUCUUGUUUUUAAUGGAAAUAAUUAUGUUUUAAAAAUGAAAAAUUUGUUUGAAAAAUUUGAGUUGUUACAAUUGGUAUCAGAGCCUUGGUUUGAGGGAUUCGGGUGCACCUUCGGGGGUAACUGAACUCAAACCGAGGAUUUGAGGAAACUUUUCAAAUAAAGGCAUAAACUUUUGUAAAUGGUUUUGUGGUAAGCAAGAAAGAAGCAGUGUGUACGAUCAGUCAGCGCCCGAACGGUAAAGAUCCCCAAAAUACCUUACAAUAUUAUAUGAUAUGAAUUGUUAUGCAUGCUAGAAGACUAGGUAUUCAUGAUAGGACUAGAGUGGCCUGAUUUGUGAUGCCUUAGUCUAGGGAAGUUGCCUAUAUGAGAUGCUUUGCUAGUAUGCGGGUAGAUAGAGCGUAUCAGAAGUAGAGUACUCACUAUCUGGAGUUUGGGGAGGAGGACUUGGGAUGAACAUUGAUGCGGUGUGGUCGGUAGUAUUGGGCCCGUACUACCGAGGACACCGGGUCAGUGGGAGGCCCAAGUAAGAAUCCCUGGAUAUCUGGGACUGAGUAGGGUUGCGUGUCGAGUACGAUUAUACUCGGUAGAAUCUCUGAUAGUUUUAUGUUGUAUUUCAGAGAUAUCAUGGUUAGACCGCGGCACGGGGCAAGUACGAGCGGUGUGAGUGACGAGGAUAUUCGUCAGAUGAUCCACGAGGAGGUGGCGGCGGCGAUCCGGGCUGAGAUCCCGGAGAUGUUUGGGUCUAUCAAGACCACCCUGAUGGAGACGUUCGACGAGCGGUACGCCGCAUUGACUGAGGCUGCAACCGCUGCAGCUACCGCAGCUGUGGCCGCUGCUAGGCCACAGGGGGGUGAUUCAUUGCUGUUCCGAGAGUUCAGCAACACGAAGCCACCAGAGUUCGAUGGGACGCAGGAUCCGAUUGCUGCGAUGAGGUGGAUCGCAGAUAUAGAGGGGUGCUUCUACACUUGUUCAUGCCCGGAGCACCUGAGGGUACGGUUCGCUUUGAACCAGCUCCGUCUGGGAGCAAAGGACUGGUGGAAGUUCGUGACGGCGAACUUCACUUUGGCAGAGACUGCGGCAGUGACAUGGGAGGGGUUCACUACCAUGUUCAGGGAGGAGUACGUUCCCCCGGUGGAGCGGGAACGAUUGGUUCAGGAGUUCUUAACCCUCAAGCAGGGUACUGAUUCGGUGGCGGCGAUCACGCGGAAGUUCCAUGAGAGGGCGAUGUUUUGCCCCGAGCUGGUGGCCACAGAGCAGGCUCGGAUGAGCCGGUACUUGGGUGUUCUGAGGAGGGAGAUCCGGGAGUUUGUGUCAAACUCCACUUACCAUACUUUUACUGAGCUUCAGGCGAAUGCCAGGAAGCGUGAGAUCGAGUUAGAGACUCAGGCCAGGGAGGAGGCCGAGUCUCAGCAGGCAGACCGGCGGCCGGCUCAGUCUCAGCCGGCAGCCAAGCGGAUCAAGUCCGCCGAUUCGAGGACGGGAGGUUCGAAGAACCGCACUUGCGUAAAGUGCGGCAAGGGUCACGAUGGGGCGUGUCGAGCCGGUGCUUGCUACAAGUGUGGCAAGGAGGGACACAUUGCUAGGGAGUGUCCCAAGGGAUUUACGGUUUGCUUUCAUUGCAACCAGACCGGCCAUCGGAAGGCCGAGUGCCCUCAGCUUCGUCAGGGAUCUGCACCUGCUGCCAGGACUACUGAGACUCGACCGGUGAAGGUCGAGGCCCCGAGGGCUCGUGGGAGAGCCUUUCAGCUGACUGCGGAGGAGGUCCGCGCUGCGCCCGAUGUUGUGGCAGGUAUGUUGUAAUUCAUGUAUUUAUUUUAAUGUCGAGAUGUUAUGCUUAUGUUAUUAUAUGCGUAGGUACUUUCCUUGUGAACUCUGUGCCUGCCUUAGUGUUAUUUGACUCGGGUGCUAGUAGGUCCUUUGUGUCCUUAGCCUUUAGUCAGCAUAUCAGCGUUAGUCGUGAGUCGUUGAGUCGACCUUUGAGAGUUUCUAUAGCUGACGAGAAAUCGAUUUAUGCCACGGAGGUUCUUCGAGGAUGUGUGCUAGAGAUUUUCGGGGUUGAAUUCCCGAUUGACCUGAUUCCUAUUGCGAUGGGUGACGUCUGUGUUAUCGUGGGCAUGGACUGGUUGAGCCGAUUCGGCGCUGUCAUCGACUGUGAGCGUCAGUUGGUGACCAUACGAGACCAUAGUGGGGGAGUUCUUUCGGUGUACGGUGAGGGUACCCGUUCAGGAUCAGCUUUUUGUUCGGCCGCUAGGGCGAGGCAGUGUCUACAGCAGGGCUGUAAGGGUUUUGUGGCGUAUGUGAUGGAUACGCGGGAGGUUUCCGAGAGACCGAAAUC